rnacentral:tRNA from 1 species
GGUGAUGUAGCUUAGCUGGUCAAAGCAGUCGACUCAUAAUCGACCGAGCGUAGGUUCGACUCCUGCCAUCACCACCA